GAACAGAUAAACAUAUUGCAAGGUAGGUCUCUUCGUGGGGCCUCAAAUUCGAUCCUUCUGUAUAAAUUCCAAAAUUCAUAAAUUAUGUAAGCCAAUCACUUUGUGGUGUCGGUAACUUGGUAUCAUCCAUCCAGGAUUCAGGGGAGAUAUGCUGGUAGCCUUGAGAUUUUUCUUCAAAAAUUCCAGUCAGGGAGGAAUGUUUAUAAAUUCAUGCUUUGCUCAUUGCCAAAGUGAGUCACAGGACACAUGGUUUGCAGUUGACUCCCCUAGGAUACACAACAAGGUACAGUGCUUACAUUCUGCCCGCUGCACUCUGCACAAAUCUUUUAUCUGCUAUUUGAUUUAACAGCGCUGUGCUGUCCAUUUUUCUGAAAGGCUUGAAAACAAGCUCCUAGGCUUGUCAAUUUAUUUUACUAUUUUAUGCCUGAAUUAAAUGCGCAUACAAAUUUGCAAUAAUGCUAGUUUUUCAUUCAAUCUACAAUAAAUCUACAAAUGCGAUUGAGAUACAUCCAGUAAAAAUUAGCUCAAAGUAACCUAAUCUGAUCAUAUAAAAGUUUAUUCAGACAAUUUACAACCUAAAGUUUAUUUUGGAAUUUGUUCUUUUCUACAUAAAGCACAUUCAAUCCACUUACACUGUUAUGUGCCUACUUUUUUAACCAUGACAUGUUUACAUCUGGACUAAGCUGGAUCAGCAUUUGUUAUCAUGGACCCUUAUUCCCUUCUCCCCUGAAGUCCUGAACUUGAAAAGAUAAGCCUGAACCUGAAAAGAUAAGGACGAUCAAUCCAAAAGUGGACGUUUCACAAUGUAGUUGGUUACUACAGCACUUUUAAGAUGCCAUUUUUUGUGAUAUCCUUUCCUUUUUUUUGAAAUGCUGAUUAAACUCAAAAUAGCCUCACUGUGAGUAAAAUUUAUGUAUUUUUUUGCAGACUAUUGCAAAAGCAGUUGGUGAUUGGUAUUUUAAUAGAGAUGUAACCAAACAGAUUGAUUGUCCGUAUCCUUGUGACACUACCUGCCAUAACCUCAUACCAACAGCUCU
rnacentral:misc_RNA from 1 species